rnacentral:rRNA from 1 species
GGUGCUAUACAUGCAAGUUGAGCGCUGAAGGUUGGUACUUGUACCGCUGGAUGAGCAGCGAACGGGUGAGUAACGCGUGGGGAAUCUGCCUUUGAGCGGGGGACAACAUUUGGAAACGAAUGCUAAUACCGCAUAACAACUUUAAACACAAGUUUUAAGUUUGAAAGAUGCAAUUGCAUCACUCAAAGAUGAUCCCGCGUUGUAUUAGCUAGUUGGUGAGGUAAAGGCUCACCAAGGCGAUGAUACAUAGCCGACCUGAGAGGGUGAUCGGCCACAUUGGGACUGAGACACGGCCCAAACUCCUACGGGAGGCAGCAGUAGGGAAUCUUCGGCAAUGGACGAAAGUCUGACCGAGCAACGCCGCGUGAGUGAAGAAGGUUUUCGGAUCGUAAAACUCUGUUGGUAGAGAAGAACGUUGGUGAGAGUGGAAAGCUCAUCAAGUGACGGUAACUACCCAGAAAGGGACGGCUAACUACGUGCCAGCAGCCGCGGUAAUACGUAGGUCCCGAGCGUUGUCCGGAUUUAUUGGGCGUAAAGCGAGCGCAGGUGGUUUAUUAAGUCUGGUGUAAAAGGCAGUGGCUCAACCAUUGUAUGCAUUGGAAACUGGUAGACUUGAGUGCAGGAGAGGAGAGUGGAAUUCCAUGUGUAGCGGUGAAAUGCGUAGAUAUAUGGAGGAACACCGGUGGCGAAAGCGGCUCUCUGGCCUGUAACUGACACUGAGGCUCGAAAGCGUGGGGGAGCAAACAGGAUUAGAUACCCUGGUAGUCCACGCCGUAAACGAUGAGUGCUAGAUGUAGGGAGCUAUAAGUUCUCUGUAUCGCAGCUAACGCAAUAAGCACUCCGCCUGGGGAGUACGACCGCAAGGUUGAAACUCAAAGGGAAUUGACGGGGGCCCGCACAAGCGGUGGAGCAUGUGGUUUAAAUUCGAAGUACGCGAAGAACUUUCCAGGUCUUGACUAC